AACACGCGCAAAUUAUCGGGCAAAUUUUAAAAAGAAAUAAAUAAGCAAACAAGAUGCGAUUGAGCGUCUGCGCAAAGGAGAGGGACCUGGGGCGAAUUAGCCCUUUCCAUUUCAAGGCUACAAAUACAAGCCAUAAACGGCGUCACUUUGUGUUGCCAAUUAAAAGAGGACAAAACCUCUUAAAAGCCUAAACGCUUCAACAUAAAAAAGGGCAAAAGGGAAGCCUAGAAUGUUUCUGCAGAUUGAAAAGGGGAAAAAAUAAAGGGAGAAGAGGGAGAGAGGGAGACGAUGCCCAUGGCACCGAUUUCGGCGUUCAUCGGCGUUCGACGCCUCCGCCUCUGCCUCCGCCAUGGCACCAGUCCAAAACCCCCAAAACACAGGGAUUUUCGAAUUUUUAAUUUCAUGGAUAAGCCGCUGCUUCCUAAACCGAUUAUGGAGAAAAGUUGGAAGAAGCCGGAUCAGGGACUGUUAAAAUUAAUUUUGAUGCGUCUUCGAACGGUAGGCAGUUGAGUUUUGGGCUGGUGGCGAGGGAUCACGACGGUUUUGUCCUUGGCGGGCGGGCUGGUAUGGUUGCGCAGAAUGUUCAAACCGAAUGGGCUGAGUUUCAUGCGCUGGUUGAGAGCUUCAAAUUUGCGCGCUCCAGGAACUGGCUUAAGCUGGAAUUUGAAACCGAUUGUGCCAGCUUGGUGAAUAGGCUUAAUAGGCGGUGGGCUGACUUAUCCACUAUGGGCUACAGCAUUCGGGAGAACAUUAAAAUUUUGGAUUUUUGUGAUAGUUAUCAUUUUGCUUGGGCCCCGCGUAGUUGUAAUAAAGUUGCUGAUUCUCUUUGUAAGUGGGCUCAGGCUUUGAAUUGUAUUAAGGAUUUCGAUAUGGAUUAUCCUGUUGAAAUUCAUGAUGUUAUUUUAAGUGAUGCAAUAAAUUGAGGUCGACCUUCGGGGUUUUUUUUUAAAAAAAAAAAGAA